UCGGAGGCUAGGUCGGGCGUUUAGCGGGCGCCUGUAGCCGGCAAGCCGCUUCAGCCGGGACCGAAGCCCGAAGGCGUUGCAUAUUGCAUGCGGGGCCCCUUGUCCGAGCAAAGAUGCCCGGUCCUCUGGGAUUUCUGCAUGGCGAAGCCGGUCAGGCCCGGAAGGGAGCAGCCGUAAACCAUGCCUGAGGUGCUCAGGGGCCAGCCGGGCGGAGCAAGGGCGGGGACAAGUCUUGCAUGUCGUAUGCAGCCACUAAAGGCGCGCCUCCAU
rnacentral:SRP_RNA from 1 species